UACGAAGGGGGCUAGCGUUACUCGGAAUUACUGGGCGUAAAGGGCGCGUAGGCGGCGUUCCAAGUUAGGCGUGAAAGUCCUGGGCUCAACCUGGGAACUGCGCUUAAGACUGGAAUGCUAGAGGAUGGAAGAGGGUUGUGGAAUUCCCAGUGUAGAGGUGAAAUUCGUAGAUAUUGGGAAGAACACCGGUGGGCGAAGGCGGCAACCUGGUCCAUUUCUGACGCUGAGGCGCGAUAGCGUGGGGGAGCAAACAGG
rnacentral:rRNA from 1 species